UCUAAUGGAAAUAAAGGAAAAGUGGUCUGAGGGUCAUUUUCUGUCUCUGUGUGAUAGUAUUCCUUGGGCAAAUUAUCAUUGUGUAGAAAUUUUGCAGUUUAUCAACGUGUAGAAUCAGUGUUGCCAAGCGGCCCUUGGUCUCAAGACUGGAGCUGGAUUUAGACAAGUAAUGAAAAUGUUUCCCCCAGAGGACAUCAUGUGACUGAGUUUUUAUAUAGUUAAUCAGGCAACUUGUAUGACAAGAAGGCUAAGAAAUGCAGAAAUUCUCUCUCUGCUAAGUAUGAAUUCACAUUGAGUUCUCAUACAUCAAAAUCCUUUAUUCAUACUUAGUGUUAUCUCAUUCUUAUAUAUUUCAUCUUGUGAACUUUUAAAUUUUUAAUUAGCAACUGGUCCACCCACAACUUACAGGGUUUUCUUUUUUUUUUUUUUUUUUUUUUUCCAAAAACAGAUAGUUAAUACUCCUACUUAUGAUAAAACAGUCUUACAAUUCAAUAGCUGGAUCACAUAAUACUAUUAUAAGCCUUUAUUAAUUUACUGAGUAAUUUUACAUGCACAGUAUUUAUAUGCACAAAUAUUUGAGAGCUUAUAGGUCAAGCCCCGUGCUAAGUACUUUGUAUCCAUUAUCUAAUACAACCCUUACAACACCUUGAUGAGAUGGAGCCAUUAUCUGCACACUAAACAUGAUGAAACCAGCACAGGAAAUCAGAUAACUCACCUGCUCUUCGCCACCACGCAGUGCGCUGCUGCUUUGCGCUUUAUGGGAAAUUGCACAUGGCAAACAUCCAAACACAGGCUUCCGGCCUUUAUUAUUAAAGGGCAAAUGUGGGCAAGGAGGCUAGCAUGGGGCUUAAUUUGUUCAAUGAACUAAAAACCGAUCUAUUCAUAUUCUGCCUUGUUCUAGGAAAGGAUUCUUGUGACUUCUUAGCAGAGGGCAGGGUAAAGAACAGGUACUCAGGAAUCAGAGCAUCUGGCACACAGGCCCCGCUGCACUCUGAGGGCCAUCACUCUCCUCAGACACGAAUUCCUGGAACCAGAGCUCAUCUCCUAAGUCCCUCAUGGUUCUGUUUCGUGAUGAUUUAUGUCCACCAUUGACAUUUUCUUAAAACCUGGGCUUACAUAAUUCUAUGUAGUUCCUCAUGUAUAAGAUAAUGUACAUAAUGAAAGAUACCCAUCAAACCAUUAAUUCUGAUUUGUCUUUGGCUAUUAUUUUGGGAAUUACUACUUAUAUUUGCUUACCUAUAUUUUCUAAAUACUCCUGCAAUGGGUGGGAAAUGAAAAGCAAAUAUUUAGGUAUAAAAAUGUAUGAGACAUAACCAAAUCACAGAUCUAAAAGUAAAUUCAUACAAUAAUUGUUAAACUGAAAUACAAUAUA